rnacentral:lncRNA from 1 species
AUAACAUGUGCAGAAUACAGGCACCAUAGUCACAAGUCUACUCUCUGGUACCAGCUACUCCACACUUUCCAUGGUGUUCUGCAGUAUUAAUUAACGCUGGUGAGACUGAAACACGCUGCAGCACUCUUCAACUCAUUCUCAGCUACAUGCUCAACAGAUUGUGUUGUAUCCUUCAAUGAUGAUUCAGAGCUGCAAAUUCAUAGACACCUCAUGAUGAGACCAAAUAGAAAUGUUCUUUCUUGUUGUAAAAUCUGAAUCAUGCUCUCAAAAUUGAUAAAACGACAUAGCGAUUCAUUGUGUUUAUUUACCUCGACUCAUAUGCUUCCUUGGAAGCGAUAUAAGACUGUCUAUCAUCAAUUGUAUCAAAGAAUGGGUGCAUUUCAUCAUAUUCUUGUGUGCCACAAUCUUGUUGGAUUAUUAAGGGCUGCGAGUUUAUCAACUGAGAUUGCAUAACCAUUGGAUUGCUAUUAAUAUUACUACUGCUAUUGUUGUAGGGCGGCUGUUGAACCCAUAAAGAGUUUACAGCAUUGUUUUCCUUGGAAUCCAUGUAAGUUGCAUUGUAAUUGGCAGCGUUGGCACUAUUGGAGGAGUAAG